CAGCCGCCACGGGAAUACGGAGGGUGCAAGCGUUAAUCGGAAUUACUGGGCGUAAAGCGCACGCAGGCGGUUUGUUAAGUCAGAUGUGAAAUCCCCGGGCUCAACCUGGGAACUGCAUUUGAAACUGGCAAGCUAGAGUCUCGUAGAGGGGGGUAGAAUUCCAGGUGUAGCGGUGAAAUGCGUAGAGAUCUGGAGGAAUACCGGUGGCGAAGGCGGCCCCCUGGACGAAGACUGACGCUCAGGUGCGAAAGCGUGGGGAGCAAACAGGAUUAGAUACCCCCGUAGUCCCUGUCCUUAUACA
rnacentral:rRNA from 1 species